AAGUCGUAACAAGGUUUCCGUAGGUGAACCUGCGGAAGGAUCAUUAACACGUAUCCAACGUUAAAACCCCCCGUGAACCUUCAUUAUGCUGGUUGUGCGCCAUCGUAUCGUAGCAAUCCCUGGUAAAUCAUCGCCGAACAAUGGAUAUCUUGGUUCUC
rnacentral:misc_RNA from 1 species